rnacentral:ncRNA from 1 species
UGGGGAGUACGGCCGCAAGGUUAAAACUCAAAUGAAUUGACGGGGGCCCGCACAAGCGGUGGAGCAUGUGGUUUAAUUCGAUGCAACGCGAAGAACCUUACCUGGUCUUGACAUCCACAGAACUUAGCAGAGAUGCUUUGGUGCCUUCGGGAACUGUGAGACAGGUGCUGCAUGGCUGUCGUCAGCUCGUGUUGUGAAAUGUUGGGUUAAGUCCCGCAACGAGCGCAACCCUUAUCCUUUGUUGCCAGCGGUCCGGCCGGGAACUCAAAGGAGACUGCCAGUGAUAAACUGGAGGAAGGUGGGGAUGACGUCAAGUCAUCAUGGCCCUUACGAGUAGGGCUACACACGUGCUACAAUGGCGCAUACAAAGAGAAGCGACCUCGCGAGAGCAAGCGGACCUCAUAAAGUGCGUCGUAGUCCGGAUUGGAGUCUGCAACUCGACUCCAUGAAGUCGGAAUCGCUAGUAAUCGUAGAUCAGAAUGCUACGGUGAAUACGUUCCCGGGCCUUGUACACACCGCCCGUCACACCAUGGGAGUGGGUUGCAAAAGAAGUAGGUAGCUUAACCUUCGGGAGGGCGCUUACCACUUUGUGAUUCAUGACUGGGGUGAAGUCGUAACAAGGUAACCGUAGGGGAACCUGCGGUUG